rnacentral:rRNA from 1 species
UCAAUGGGGGCGGGCCUUACACAUGCAAGUCGAGCGGCAGCGGGAAAGUAGCUUGCUACUUUUGCCGGCGAGCGGCGGACGGGUGUACAAGGCCCGGGAACGUAUUCACCCGAGUGGGAUAACAAUUGGAAACGACUGCUAAUACCGCAUACGCCCUACGGGGGAAAGCAGGGGACCCCAAGGCCUUGCGCGAUUCGACAUACUUUAGUGAGGUCCGCUUGCUCGCGAGGUAAUGGCUCACCAAGGCGACGAUCCCUAGCUGGUCUGAGAGGAUGAUCAAGGGCCAUGGAACUUUGACGUCAUCCCCACCUUCCUCCAGUUUAUCAGUGGGGAAUAUUGCACAAUGGGGGAAACCCUGAUGCGCCAUGCCGCGUGUGUGGCGCUCGCCUUCGGACUUAACCCAACAUUUCACGAGGAACACGAGCUGAUGCCUAAUACGUAUCAACUGUGACGUUACUCGCAGAAGAAGCACCGGGCUAUCUCCGUGCUAAGUUCCGCGGUAGUCAAGAGUAGGUAAGCGUUCUUCGGAAUUACUGGGCGUAAAGCGCACGCAGGCGGUUGGAUAAGUUAGAUGUGAAUCAUUUGAGCUCAACCUGGGAGCCGUACUCCAGGCGGUCGACUUAACGUCUUGUAGAGGGGGGUAGAAUUCCAGGUGUAGCGGUGAAAUGCGUAGAGAUUACGGGGACUACCGGUGGCGAAGGCUGUUUGCUCCCCACGCUUUCGCACUCAGGUGCGAAAGCGUGGGGAGCAAACAGGAUUAGAUACCCUGGUAGUCCACGUCCAGAUCUCUACGCAUUUGGAGGCUGCACCCUUGGAAUUCUACCCCCGGAGCUAACGCGUUAAAUCGACCGCCUGGGGAGUACGGCCGCAAGGUUAAAACCGGGAUGAUUUCACGGGGGCCUUGACAGACCGCCUAGCGUGCGCUUUAAUUCGAUGCAACGCGAAGAACCUUACCUGGUCCUUGACAUGUCUGGAAUCAUGGAGAGAUCCGGUGAUUCUUCUGCGAGUAAUCAAUCACUCAGGUACCGCAUGGGCUGUCGUCAGCUCGUGUCGUGAGAUGUUGGGUUAAGUCCCGCAACAUACACAACCCCUGGCUGCUCAGGCUUGCGCCCANUGUGCAAUAUUCAAGGGAGACUGCCGGUGAUAAACCGGAGGAAGGAUGGGGAUGACGUCAAGUCGUCAUGGCCUCUCAGACCAGGGCUAGAUCGUCGCCUAGGUGAGCCGUUAAGAGGGCUGCAAGCUAGCGAUAGUGAGCGAAUCCCAAAAAGCGCGUCGUAGUCCAGGUCCCCCUCUGCAACCUUGCGACGUUAUGCGGUAUUCGCUAGUAAUCGCAAAUCAGAAUGUUGCGGUGAAUACGUUCCCGGGCCUUGUACACACCGUCCGCCACUCCACCCAAGGAGCAAGCUCCAGAAGGCUACCGUUCGACCUUCGGGAGGGCGUUACCA